CCUUAGUUACAGGAGCCAGAAACUCAAAACGGCAACGAAACCAUUAUUAUACAACCAUGCCGUCGCUGCUAGAAGCGAUUGCAGAAAAGUACGGAUGUUUUGAAGAUGACACGUUCGAUCAGAUGCCUAUAGCUAUAUAUGUGCCUCGUAAAAACCCCAGAAAUAUGAUACCAAAUUUAUUAGUAUUAAAUGACUGCGACAUCGAUUCGGCCGGACAAGAAUCCGAUUUAAGAGACAAGUGUCAUGGUGUUGAAGAAUUGGAUUUAGCUCAGAAUUGCUUAUCCAGAUGGAGUGAAGUGAGUUUUACGUAUCUAUCAAUAUAAAUAUAAUAUGUUUCUAGAUUAUAAGUGGAGCAAAGAAGGUUAUGGUACUGUUUAUUAUUAUUUUUUUUUUGUGGAUAACUUAUCUUCAUUUGUGUUCGUAGUAGCAUGUACACAUGCUAGUAUGAGAUUUAUUGGCCUGCUAUUUAUUCUCAACCUUACGAUCUUUUCGGAAAUUGGUCCAAGUUCUUCAAUGUGUGGCAGCAACGACUUAUGUACAGCGGUACCACUCCCCUAAUUGUGCCUGUUGAUCAUUCCUGAAAAAUAUAUUUCGUAAUCUUUUAUUCUUAUCGGUCCUGUUCUUUCCCAUAUUAUCUCCUGUAGUUAUUUUUCGGUUGCUAUUUGAACUCCAUAUGUUCUUAAGAUCUUUUAGGUCUUAAUGGAUUAGGACUAGAUUCUGUCAUGCGCCAGUCCUGUAAAUCUUAAAUAAAUUCCAAGUCACGAUCUUAAAAUUUACCAUCCGAUUUCCAUGUCGAAAUGUAAAAUCGUUUCUCUGUGUCCGAGGAAUAUUUUAUGAUAACAUAACAAUAGGUUUUUUCUAAAGCAGGGUUGUCAGCCCCAUGCUAAACCUCCGACCUGGAGGGCUAGACCUCACCAACCACUUAAGGCCAGCAUGGGGCUAUUGAAAUGUACAUAGUGUACAUUGGCCGAUAGGCACAUAACUCUCUUUACGCCCCUGAGUUCGCCAAGCCCGUUACACUGAGUGUUCCUUUGUGGUAGCGGCGCACAUUACAUUUUUUACAAGGGUGUCGAAAAUAUAAAUAUCUAAAUACCCAUCUCACUCCACCAGUCAAAUUUAUGAGUUUAGGCAUAAUAAAACUCAAUUACAAGUUAAUAUUAUUAAUAUUAAACAAAUAUACAUAAAAAUAACAUCUAAACUCACCUGAUACCCACUAAUUUUCUGAGAGGUGUCAGUUGACACCCCAGACCUCAUCAGAGUGUGCCACUGCUCUGUAGCUAAUUCGGUUUUUGUUAUAGUUCAGUUAAAAAUAUUCAUUGAGAAUUGAAAUUUCUACAAAAAACUUAUAUUAGAUAAUUUAAUGCUAUAAUUACGAAAAUUUACUUACUUUCAUUAUUAUAUAUUAUAAUAACAACUUAUACUUACUUAUUCUACCUAUUUAUUUUAUGACUUUAGAUAUUUAAAAUAUUACAUAUCAUGCCGAGAUUAAAGUUUGCCAAUCUGAGUUUUAAUAAUUUAAGUUCAGAUAUAAAUAGUGCAAUUGAUGCUUGUGGAGAUGUACGAGAGACAUAUCCAUGUCUGAAAAGCAUCGUGUUGAAUUCAACAAAUAUAACAUGGCGCAGCUUUAGACACAUCCUAAAAAGAAUACCUAUGUGCGUUGUUUACCUUUCUAGUUUCAAACACUGAACUAUAUACAUAUAGUUCAGUGGUUUCAAAGUUCCAACAUAUACAAAUAAUUAUUUACAUGAAAUAUUUUAUAUUUGUAUAGGGUUGAAGAAAUACACUUAAGUAUGAACAAUUAUGAUGUUAUAAACUUGGAUGAAGAUGAACAUCGUCAACCUACUCAAAUGUCUUCUGUAAAACGGUUACAUUUUACAGGUAUUACAAUUUUUGAGAGCAGUAUAAGUACAAGUUGUUUGUCCUCCGUUAAUAACAUUUUUUGCGAUAAUUU
rnacentral:lncRNA from 1 species